rnacentral:tRNA from 1 species
CUCGAAACAGCUCAGUUAGAAGAGCGUUAAACUAUAAAUCGAAAGCUCCUGGUUCGAUCCCGGUAUUCGGCA